GCUCAUUUGGUAGAGUACAAGACUCUUAACCUUAUGGUCGUGGGUUCAAGCCCCAC
rnacentral:tRNA from 1 species